GUGCUCACUUUGGCAGCACAUACACUAAAAUUGGAAGGAUACAGACAUUAGCAUGGCCCUGUGCAAGGGCGACAAGCACAUUCAUGAAGCGUUCCAUAUUUUU